rnacentral:lncRNA from 1 species
GGAACAGAAUCUAGUCCUUCGAUAUCAAUGUAUCAUAAGAUAUGAUAAUUUAUGUGUGCGUGUUUGUUACCUCAUAGCUCAGUUGGUAGAGCAUUGGAGUUUAAUAUGUAAUUGGAAAGGGCAUGGCAAGUGCGCAAUUGUUAUAGCAUAAAUUUAUCUUGGGUGCAUCACUGCCAUACUCUGCAGCCUGGGCAAGCAUGACUUGCUUAUAAGACAGAAAUGUUUUAGAACUUUAUAUACUAAUAUAAAGCAUCAGUUUCAUACUAACUUAUACCAACAUAAGACAGAACUGUUUGAAAUGGCUAAAAUAUCAUGACUGAGGAGUCUCAUCAUUGCUUAUGUUAGAAAAGGGAAUAUUUUGGGGCUGACCCAAAUAUUGCUGGGGCUGGGAAUAUAGCUGGGGCUGGGAAUAUUGCUGGGCUACCUGUCUGGGUUGUCCAAAAUAAUUAUUUGGCAAAUUUUGAGUGGCUUGUGAAGCUGGAAAAUGAUAGUUAGCAUUUAGAGAAGGGAAGGAGUCGGUGACUGCAGGUGCUUGGG